GCACAAGCGGUGGAGCAUGUGGUUUAAUUCGAAGCAACGCGAAGAACCUUACCAGGUCUUGACAUCCCCUGACCAACCCGAGAGAUCGGGCGUUCCCCUUCGGGGGACAGGGUGACAGGUGGUGCAUGGUUGUCGUCAGCUCGUGUCGUGAGAUGUUGGGUUAAAUCCCGCAACGAGCGCAACCCGCGACCUUAGUUGCCAGCAUUCAGUUGGGCACUCUAAGGUGACUGCCGGCUAAAAGUCGGAGGAAGGUGGGGAUGACGUCAAAUCAUCAUGCCCCUUAUGACCUGGGCUACACACGUGCUACAAUGGGCGGUACAAAGGGUCGCGAACCCGCGAGGGGGAGCCAAUCCCAAAAAGCCGCUCUCAGUUCGGAUUGCAGGCUGCAACUCGCCUGCAUGAAGCCGGAAUCGCUAGUAAUCGCAGGUCAGCAUACUGCGGUGAAUACGUUCCCGGGCCUU
rnacentral:rRNA from 1 species